UACGUAGGGGGCAAGCGUUGUCCGGAAUUAUUGGGCGUAAAGGGCGCGCAGGCGGCCUGUUAAGUCUGAUGUGAAAGACCGCGGCUCAACCGCGGGGUGGCAUCAGAAACUGGCAGGCUUGAGUGCAGGAGAGGAGAGUGGAAUUCCCGGCGUAGCGGUGGAAUGCGUAGAGAUCGGGAGGAACACCAGUGGCGAAGGCGGCUCUCUGGCCUGCAACUGACGCUGAGGCGCGAAAGCGUGGGGAGCGAAC
rnacentral:rRNA from 1 species